rnacentral:lncRNA from 1 species
CAUAACAAAAUGGGUCAUUAUUUAGUUCUUUAGGCAAGUACCAUGAACCGAAGGUCACAAGCCAGAGGAGUAUUUCCGGGACUACAUCAUAAAUGAGAAAGUCUUGAAAGUCAUUUCCUCUAAUAUGUCAUUAGCCUGGUGCCAGGUGGAAGUGCACAACCACAUUGACAGGAGGCAGGGGCACUUCUGCAGCCUAACAGGAUGGCUUGUUACUGUGAGGGCUCCCCAAGCCACAAAUAGAACUCCUCUUUGAAGAGCCUUAUGCAUCAGGCUAAUGCAGUGAUUUCAGGAAGGCAAGCAUAUUAGAAAACACUGAAAACCAGACUCAUUUUCAGUUAAUAAGGAAGGAAUCAGCACAUAUGUACUGCAAGGGCAGAGUAUGUCUUUCAGGCUCUGCUGCAGCCUGAGUGCUUUUAAAAUACCUACACCAGGGUGGAGAUCAAAUAAAUAACAAAUGAAUGAAAGAAUGAAUGAGCGAACACUUGUAUGCAUUCUCAGGGGUUGAGGCUUGGCAUGUAUUGAAAAUUGACUCGAUAUACACAAUUAUAUCUUAUACUGCUCACAUUAUAUUGCAUUACAUGCAGUUAACCAUUCUAACAGCCCUAUAAGGGAGGGACUAUUAUUAACCCUUAUUUAGAAAUGUGGAAAUUUCACACUAGAAAUGUAAAUUAAAUAGUUAAAUCCACAUAAUUAAUAAUUGACAGUUGAGCAAAGGCUUAUAAACUAAGGUCACUAUAGCUCAAAGCUCAUGCUGUAACUAUUAUAAUAUUGUGCUUAAUUUUCAGGAAAAAUCCAGAAGGCUAAUAGCAUUUUCUGUAUUUUACAAAAGAAUAGAUGAGUUAUCAGAGUUUACAGCAGAAUUUGAACUUGAACCCACCAGCCUGUUGCCAAAGCCCUUUCCUCCACCCACAUUUACCUUCUGUGUAUUCACUUCCCCAAAGUGGAACACUGUGCUCACAGGGGCUGAUUUCCCAGUUCUGCAUGAAGCCACCCUCGUUCUGAACUCCAUGGCCAGUAUAUGGGCUGGUAUUAGUUUCCUAUCGCUACUGUUGACAAAAUACCACAAACUAAGUGACUUGAAAUAACCCACUUUUAUUAUCCUAUAGUUGUAGAGGUCUUAGGUUCAAGACAGUCUCAUGGGGCUAAAGCAAAGAUGUCAGCUGGGCUGUUUCCCUCUAAGGCUGCCAGGGAGACUUUAUUUCAUUGACUUGGCCAGCUUCUAGAGGUCGUGUGCAUUCCUUGGCUGUGGCCCUUCACUCCAUCUUCAAAGCUAGCAGCAUAGUUGUCCCAUCUUCUUCACUGACUGCUUCUGUCUUUACAUCUCCUCCUCUGACUCCAACUCUCCUGCCUUUCUGUCAUAAGAAGGCUUGUGAUUACCUUGAGCUCACCCAGGUAAUCCAGGGUCAUCUUACCUCCCCAAGACCCUUUAUUUAACCACAUCUGCAAAGUUUCUUUUGCCAUGUAAGAUAACAUUAUAGGAUCUGGGGGAUUUGAGCAUAGACAUUUUGGGGGAGCCAUUAUCUGUAUGGUCUCAUCCGGAAUAUCUUUGCUUUCCCCUGGUUCUUCCCCUUCAAUCCACCAAAAGUAUAUUCAUCUACCCACUCCAGGGUUUGGAUUAAUAAUAUACUAAUAAUGUAUAAAAGAAAAAGAACCACAGUUCAGAUUUUUUCAUGACAGUAUUGUUAAUGUUCGAAAAAUUUUAGAGCUACAUCAAUAUCAUUUUAAUUAGUGACUAUGGAGUUCUUGAAAUAAUACGAAAGUAAUGAUGGAAGAUCAAGACUUGCUUAUAUUUGAAGUGAAAGAGGCAGAACAUAUAAUAGGAGCAGCCUUGUAAUAUUUAUGCAUUUGAAAGUCUCAAAGGAAAUAUAGGAAUGUGAAUUUAAUUUACAAGAAAUGAUGAGCAUCUUUAUUUAACUUUCUGCAUUAUUCUUAUCUUAUUUUCAGGUUCCCAUAUCCUCCAUGUGACUCCCACUAAAAAUCAGCUUCCGCUGAUAUUCUGUCUUCUCUAAAUUAUGCUUUGUAAAGUAUUUCUGAAAAUUUCGCUCACUUACAGUGUUGCAUGCCGGAGUCAUCUCUCCCCAGCUCAAUUGUAUAUUUAAGAUCCCAAACCACUUAACAUAUAGCUGAACAUUCAAUUAAAAAGCCUAUACAUUAUAUCAAAUUCAACAAAUUUUUUGGAAUGUGUACUAUGCAGCGUCACGGAUGUCAUUCUUUGCUUAGACUGGAACAAUUUAUGCCUGCCUCUCUCACUUACAAACAUAUCCUGAUUUGAAUGAUAAAUUAUGUAGUCCCCCUAAAUAUGCAGCCCGUGUCAAGGGUUAUUCUUGGUGAUAACAGUAAGCGUGGUUCCUGAUCUCAAUGAAAGAGCACUAGAAAGUCUGAGACAGUGUGGCAGGCAGAAUAAUGGGUCCCCUACCCCCAAAUGCCCACAUCUUAAUCCUGGGACCCUGUGAAUAGGUUGCACUAUAUGGCGUAGAGGAAGGUCACAGAUGGGAUUAGGUUGCAAAUCAGUUGACUUGAAAAUAAGGGGAUUAUCCUGGAUGAUGUGGGUGUGCUCAGUGUGAUCACAAGGGUUCUAAAAUGGCAAAAAGUAAAAAAGAGUAAGAAGGAGAUAUGACUAUGGAAGAAAGACAGUGAGAGAUGUAGUAACAUCACUGGUUUUGAAGAUGACGGAAGGGCACCGAGAGCCGAGGGGGCAGGUGGACCCUGGAAGCAGAGAGGACAAAGGGAUAGAUUCUCCCCCAGAGCCUCUGGAAGAAAUGCAGCUCUACCAACAUUCUGCUUUCAGCCCAAGGUACCUAAGAUAGACUUCUGAGCUCUAGAACUGCAAGAUAACACAUUUAUGCUGUUUUAAGCCACAAAAUUUGUCAUAAUUUCUUACAACAUCAACAGAAAAUUGGUACAAGCUUACAAUUCUGCCUGUACUGGAGUAUAGGUCGCUCAAACUAAUUAAUGGCAACAGAAAUCCUUAUAUCACACUCCUUCCUUUUGGUGUCAGUUGCUGUUUUUGUUCUUGUAUGAUUAUUCAAGUCUAGCCUUUUCCUUGGACAAUAACUGUAUUAAAUAUUGACAUGAUACCAUAUUCAAGUAGUAAAGCUUUAAUAGUUGAAUAAUUAAGCACCAAUAAAAGGAAAGUAAGGACUGAAUUUAAUUUCCAAGUCAAGUCAACCUGCAGGAUUCCUCAAAGAUAUAUGAUGGUUUCAGAAAGAAUGGGUCUACUCCAAAAGGAUGUUUGGACUGGAUACAGCCGUUUCUCGGGAUAGAAACAACACCAAAUUUAGUUCACUUUCUGGGAAGGUAAGAGCUGUACUAUUCAGGAUUCUAGGAGAGAGAUCUCAUUUGCGUUGUGUGUCUGAUCAAAGCACUUACUUGGGUAUGGCUGCGGCUGUUCUGCUGUUUCUUGAGGUAAAAGGAGCUGCCUGGAGAGAGCAACUUUCACUUGCUGAGUAGGCUUUUCAUCUUGAACCUUUCCCAGGUAUGCCAGCAUCUUCUCCUUGAGUGAGGGGAUCUGGGUUCUUUGAUCUCCCACCUGCAAGAUAGGUCACCUGCUCUCUCAGUGAACUUGAUCAGCAGUCAAAAGAAAUGAGCACUUCAAAUAAGAAAAAGAAAGGGACUGAAAUUCAGAAGGUAUUGGGCUGGAUACUUAUACUGUAUCUCAGUCAACACACAUAACACCCUAAGGCACAGAUUUUUGUAUUAGGACUCUUUUUGUUGCAAGUGAAAGAGUCAUAACACAAACCAUGUUAAGCAUGUAUGGGAAUUGAGGGUCUCAAGUAGCUGAGAAUUCUAGGAGUCUUAGUUGGGCCUUAAGAAAUGUGAAGCUUAAGUGUUUUCCUUUCUGCCUCCCUUUCUCUCUCCCCUCUCUUUCUCAUGGUUGCAUUAUUCCAUGCACUGUGGUACGGAAUCAACAUCUUGGUUCUCUGGGCUUAAAUCAGUUGAGACGCCCAGAGGAUGCUUGGAUCAUAUGAGCAUCCUCGAAUCAAUCUUUGUGGUGAAGGAGUUAGAUACUAACAUGGAGCAAACCUGUAUCACAUGAGCAGUUCUCUCGUGAAGGGCUAGAAGACUGGGAUGGAGAGGCCUUCGGAGAGCACGUUAAGUGAAGGAGGAGCAAUUUCCCAUAGAAAAAGGAGCUCUGCCUAACAGAAGGGAGAGGAGGACUACUGAUAGAGCCAAUGUGAAGAAAUGUUUAUUACAGCAAUUUUCCCUAUGUAGACAAAAGUAAAUGAAGUAUCCAAGAGGAUACUUUAAUUGUGCUUUUAAAGUUUGCACAACUAAUAAUGACAAAGAAUCAGAGCCCGGUUUUUUUCUGAUUCUGAAGCCUGUACUCUUUCUGCGAUAGGCCUGGGGCCACUGCAAUAUUCAUCGACUCUUGAAAAGGAUAGCUUUUCUUACACAUUAGAAUUAAUAUACUUCAUUUCAUAAGGCAACUGAAAGUUAUACUAUCAAGUUGUAGAAGUGAUUAUUUGGGGAAUAUAAAAUGUCUGUUUCAUCUGGAAAUUAUUUAGCAAGGAGGAUUCUUUCACUUUAUUUUAAAAUAUUUCAAAAGGUACAUUAUAAUCUUUUAAGGCCAUUAGAGGAGUCUUUAGUGGCUUAAAAUGGUUUUUCACAUGGUUUGAAGAUUUUUUGUUGUUGUUGUUGUUGUUGUCUUUUUGCCUUAUCUAGGGCCGCUCCUGCGGCACAUGGAGGUUCCCAGGCUAGGGGUCUAAUCAGAGCUGUAGCUACCAGCCUACACCAGAGCCACAGCAAUGCAGGAUCUGAGCCGCAUCUGCAAGCUACACCACAGGUCAUGGCAACGCCGGAUCGUUAACCCACUGAGUGAGACCAGGGAUCAAACCCUCAACCUCAUGGUUCCUAGUCGGAUUUGUUAACCACUGCGCCACGACAGGAACUCCAAGAUUUUUCUCACCUACAUAGCUUGUCAUCAAAAAACAAGGACCUAUUGUAUAGCACAGGAUACCUGCUCAAUAUAUAUCUGAUUCACUUUGCUAUAUAUCUGAAACUAAUAACUAUACUCCAAUAAAAUUCUUUUAAAAAUUACUAUCUUAACUGCUCAAAUGGGUUAAGACAAAUCUUUCCUUCCUAUGCAAUGUUAAUAGUAUUUCAAAUUGGUCCACGAUUUUGGCAUGGGGGAUAUUGGCCAGAGG